GAGGGCAAGUGUGGUGCCAGCAGCCGCGGUAAUUCCAGCUCUCAAAAAGCAUAGAAUUAUUGCUGCGGUUAAAAAGAUCGUAGUUGGAUCUGUGCUGGGAAAAGGGUCCGCCUUCGGGUGUGCACUCAGCUUCCCGGUUUUUAGCUGGUUUUCCCGUUGUGGCCUUUACCGGUUGCAACGGGUGGCUGGCGAGUUUACCUGAAGAAAUCAAAGUGCUUAAUACCGGCGAUCCGC
rnacentral:rRNA from 1 species